CCUACGGGGGGCAGCAGUGGGGAAUAUUGGGCAAUGGGCGCAAGCCUGACCCAGCAAUGCCGCGUGAAGGAAGAAGGCUUUCGGGUUGUAAACCUCUUUGACAGGGGAAGAGCAGAAGGCGGUGCCCUGAAAACAAGCCACGGCUAACUACGUGCCAGCAGCCGCGGUAAUACGUGGGUGGCAAGCGUUGUCCGGAUUUACUGGGUGUAAAGGGCGUGUAGCCGGGAAGGCAAGUCAGAUGUGAAAUCUGGAGGCUCAACCUCCAAAUUGCAUUUGAAACUGUUUUUCUUGAGUACUGGAGAGGCAGACGGAAGUCCUGGUGUAGCGGUGAAAUGCGUAGAUAUAAGGAGGAACACCAGUGGCGAAGGCGGUCUGCUGGACAGCAACUGACGGUGAGGCGCGAAAGCGUGGGGAGCAAACAGGAUUAGAUACCCCAGUAGUC
rnacentral:rRNA from 1 species